UCCUUUCUCUCUCUUCCCCGGGAUAGCAGGUUCCCUUGGUGUAUCACAGUUUCUGAAGUAUUGAUUCCCUUUUCAGUUGAUUCCACAGAUGACAGUCCUAACGUUUAAAAAAAUUGCCAGAUACCUUUAAUUAUUAUUAUUAUUUUUUAACAGAACAGGAACUUAAGGCAGAUUGCCUAGGAUUGAACCUUGGCCUCUCACUUCUUAGCCAAGUGGCCUUGGCUAGUUAAACACCUUCGUGAGCCUCAAUUUUCUCAUCUGUAAAAUGGGAGUCAUAAGUGUCUACCUCACAGAGCUGUGAUUGAAAGCGUAAACAGCACCUGGCACAUAGCGCUGUAGAAGUGGUUAUUAUUGUUAAUAUUUUAUUUACCUUCACGCAGGUAACAGCCACAACAUCUGCCCAUUCUUCCCCACACCUUACUGUCCCUUGAAAUGUUUCCUAUUUUACUAUAGUAGACAUUUUAUGGCUUCUUCCCUUUAGAGAAAUGAGUGUGUGAUAGUAAAGUGUGUCUUGGUUUAUGCCCUAGGAGUCAGAAGCUAAGGCACUCCUUUUUGUGCUUGUACAUUUGUCUUAACUGAAAAUAACCUAAGGAUAAGGAAACAAAUAGCUUCCUGAAAUUACUUGGAUUGCUGGGGUGAGGGGUGAGGGCUGGAGGGUGGUGAUUCUGUCGUCAUAGGAAGGCAGCAAAGGCCAAAGUCGUAUUUGAGUUAUUACCAUUAUUAUUCACCACAUUUGCCAUCUUAUUUCAAACUUACAAUGGCGGAAGUGGACUAAGACAUCAUGUUGCCUCAAGUUUAAUUGGAAAUCGUGCACUCCUUUUCCUGACUAGAACAACUGGAGUUCUAUCCAAAACCUCAGCCUGUAACAGAUGGGCUGGAUCACCGACACUGCUCCAGCCCUGGAAUACAGACUCAUGUCUGCCCAGAACAGCUGAAGCCUUGCCAGAGAGGGCAUGCUUUUCCAGAAGCACAAUGCCUUUCUUCAGUACGGCUAUACUUUUUUUUUUUUUUUUUGCAUGAUAAAAGCCAAAUUACAUGACACAACAUUAGAAAAUAUAGAAAAUAAGGACAAAUUUCACACGUAAUACCACUACACCCAACACAAUUCCUUUAAGAAGUUUGGUAUAAUUAUUCCUAUACAGUUUUUAAUAUACAGUCAUUUUAAACACGUAGAGCGAAGUUCCUACCUUCAGAAUAAACUAGGCUCACGCUAGAACUCAGACAUGUCUGGGCAUAUCUCAAGGUCUUGCUGAGGCCUGCCAGGGGAGAGAAUUUUGAGGUGGGGUGGGGCUCCCAGUUGGGAUUCAUGCCAGCCACACAGACCCACAUAUGAGUUCUGGGAAGAGAGGACAGUGAAUGGAUAUGAAAAACUCUUCCCACCAACCAAUCAGCAAAUGAAAACUUAAUUUCAUUACUGUUUGAAAUCCAUAUAUCAGAGUUUAUCACUAAAGUGAGGGAAGAGUGGUUUCUACAACUUCAGCAGCAAUAAAGUAGGACUUCUCCUUUAAGGGCUUAGGGAUAGCUUCCUCAGGGCACUAACCCAGAGGAGAAGGAGAGGGCAAGAUAUGAUCAGUGAGAUGUCUGAGGUCAUGAGAACAAAUGAGAAGGCCUCUGGAAAUGUGAGGAAAUGUCUGAGGCUUUGAAACAGGUUGAGGACAGAGGAAUGCUAUUGUGAACCUAGCGUUCCACCUCUAGCCUGGAAUGGCUUUAUGGAAUUCAGGUUCCUUUUGGAGCCUCAUGGAGCAACAUUAUAUUCUGGUGCAUUGUCUGUGUGCUCCAAAGAUUGCUUCCUUCCCUAGAAUUACAGCUAAUUGACAUGUUAGAGACAAUGGUCGGGACAUGAUUAGACUACACUGCAAGCUCCUGGAAGACUGGAACUGUGCUUACCUCAUUCUCUAUUGCCAACACUUAGCACAGUGCUAGCACGUAAGAGAUACUCAGUAAACACAUGCUAAAUAAAUGCCAGAUAAAUGCAGAAUGAAGCCUAGUACACCUGGUUACAAAUGGAACCUUGGAAAUCAUUGCUGAUUUGGGGAAACCAGUGAACUCUGUGACAAGGCUAAAACCGGAGACAUCCUGCAGACUGCUCUAAGGUCUUCCUUCAGAGGGUAGAAACUGAUCAAAAGCCUGAAAAUCAUUCAAGGUCUUAUUGCAGACAAUCUGUACAACUGUGAUGGAAGGAUAUGGGCAGAAGGUGUUAGUUUUAGAAUGGUAGAGUGAUUAGCUCUGAGAACAUUAAAAGAAGGAGGCUUUUUGGGACAAGAGUUAGGAACCUAAGAACCAGAAAUAGGUCAGAAAUUGGGCAUGCAUACCUGAGAUCAUAUGAGCCAGAGGAGUAAAUUAAAUGCAAAAUUUUCGUGGCUUAACAUAAUAAAAACACUUGCUAUUAGGGAAUGCAAAUGCGUAUCAACUGUCUCAAGGGUAAUUUGGUGACAUAGUUAUAACCGACUAUGUGCCAGACUUUAAAUGUCUUAACUCAUUUGAUUUUCUCAAUAGUUCUGAGUUAAGUAUUAAUAUUAACUCUAUCAUAUAGAUGGGGAACUCAGAUGAAUUAACUAAUCCAAGGAUGUACAGCUAGUGAAGCUGUAAGUACAGGCAGCUUAGCUUUGGAGGUCAAGAUUUGAACCGGGCUCUGAUCUCUUUCGGUGUAGUAAGAGGUGAGAGCCUUCUGAAUGAUACUUCUGUUUCUAGGAAUUUCUUCUAAGGAUAAAUAAUCAAACAUGUUACUAAAAAUAUUUUGAUUGUAACUUGGAUUAUAGUGGCGAAAAAGUGUAAGCAUCCAAAGUGAGGCAGCAAGUCCUAGGUGUAAAGACACCAAGGGUUUUAGAGUCAGUUCUGGGUCAGAUCCUGUCUCUGUCACCUACCAUGGAACCUUAGACAAGUCACUGACCCACUCUAAGCCUCUUCCAUAAAAUUAGAAUAGUAAUAUGCCUACCUCACAGGAAUUUAGAAUAGGAAAAUACUGUUUUCUGGAAGCCUGAACUAAAGAUGUGACUGCAUGAAGACAAUAGCUCUUUGAAAAUCUCCCAAUUUGGUAACUUAAUUAUACAGAUAAAGCAAUGUUUUGCCA
rnacentral:lncRNA from 1 species